CUUUGCACACAUCCCAUUGUAUGUUUACUCUAUUAUUGUCGAGAGUCGUUCUUUUUAAUCUUCCCAAUAACAAGCUGUUAACCAAAACCACGUAGCGUUACGGUCUCCAAAUCUCCAUUUUCUGCCGGAAUUAAUUUCUCAUUUAUCAAUGCAGCAGUGUCCACAAUCAGGCUCACAAUUUUGUCAUUCAUAGUACCUCGUACUGCUAAUCUCUUUCAAAUUGUUCGUCUGAUGACAACAUCGGACGAGGCCAUGGGCCUCUGUUCGAUUUUGUGAUGAGGUAUGUUUCAUGGUCAAUAGACUUUGGAAUCGUGCGUUGGCCUACUGGCC
rnacentral:lncRNA from 1 species